rnacentral:rRNA from 1 species
GCUUCGGGUGCGGCCCCUGUCUAAGUGCCCUGGAACGGGCCGUCAGAGAGGGUGAGAAUCCCGUCUGGGAUGGGGUGUCCGCGCCCGUGUGAAGCUCCUUCGACGAGUCGAGUUGUUUGGGAAUGCAGCUCUAAAUGGGUGGUAAAUUUCAUCUAAAGCUAAAUACUGGCCGGAGACCGAUAGCGCACAAGUAGAGUGAUCGAAAGAUGAAAAGCACUUUGAAAAGAGAGUUAAAAAGCACGUGAAAUUGUUGAAAGGGAAGCGCUUGCGACCAGACUCGCCUCCAGGGUUCAGCCGGCAUUCGUGCCGGUGUACUUCCCUGGGGGCGGGCCAGCGUCGGUUUGGGCGGCCGGUCAAAGGCUCCCGGAAUGUAGUGCCCUCCGGGGCACCUUAUAGCCGGGAGUGCAAUGCGGCCAGCCUGGACCGAGGAACGCGCUUCGGCACGGACGCUGGCAUAAUGGUCGUAAACGACCCGUCUUGAAACACGGACCAAGGAGUCUAACAUCUACGCGAGUGUUCGGGUGUCAAACCCGUACGCGCAGUGAAAGCGAACGGAGGUGGGAGCCCCCUCGUGGGGCGCACCAUCGACCGAUCCUGAUGUCUUCGGAUGGAUUUGAGUAAGAGCGUAAAUGUGGGGACCCGAAAGAUGGUGAACUAUGCCUGAAUAGGGCGAA